rnacentral:rRNA from 1 species
CGGGUGAGUAACGCGUGAGCAACCUGCCUAUGACAGUGGGAUAGCCUCGGGAAACCGGGAUUAAUACCGCAUAAAAUCGUAGAAACACAUGUUUCAACGGUCAAAGAUUUAUCGGUCAUAGAUGGGCUCGCGUCUGAUUAGCUAGUUGGUGAGAUAACAGCCCACCAAGGCGACGAUCAGUAGCCGGUCUGAGAGGAUGAACGGCCACAUUGGAACUGAGACACGGUCCAA